rnacentral:rRNA from 1 species
GGGUAAUACGGAGGGGGUUAGCCGUUGUUCGGAAUUACUGGGCGUAAAGCGCGCGUAGGCGGAUUAGUCAGUCAGAGGUGAAAUCCCGGGGCUCAACCCCGGAACUGCCUUUGAUACUGCUAGUCUUGAGUUCGAGAGAGGUGAGUGGAAUUCCGAGUGUAGAGGUGAAAUUCGUAGAUAUUGGGAGGAACACCAGUGGCGAAGGCGGCUCACUGGCUCGAUACUGACGCUGAGGUGCGAAAGUGUGGGGAGCAAACAGGAUUAGAUACCCUGGUAGUCCACACCGUAAACGAUGAAUGCCAGACGUCGGCAAGCAUGCUUGUCGGUGUCACACCUAACGGAUUAAGCAUUCCGCCUGGGGAGUACGGUCGCAAGAUUAAAACUCAAAGGAAUUG